CUAGUUGGUGAGGUAACGGCUCACCAAGGCAAUGAUCGGUAGCUGGUCUGAGAGGAUGAUCAGCCACACUGGAACUGAGACACGGUCCAGACUCCUACGGAGGCAGCAGUGGGGAAUCUUGCACAAUGGGCGAAAGCCUGAUGCAGCGACGCCGCGUGGGGGAUGAAGCAUUUCGGUGUGUAAACCCCUUUCGACCGGGAAGAAUGCCUCGCAAGAGGAUUGACGGUACCGGUAUAAGAAGCCCCGGCUAACUACGUGCCAGCAGCCGCGGUAAGACGUAGGGGGCCAGCGUUGUUCGGAAUUACUGGGUGUAAAGGGUUCGUAGGCGGUGCGGCAAGUUGGGAGUGAAAUCUCUGGGCUUAACCCAGAGGCUGCUUCCAAAACUGCUGUGCUUGAGUGUGGGAGAGGCGCGUGGAAUUGCAGGUGUAGCGGUGAAAUGCGUAGAUAUCUGCAGGAACACCCGUGGCGAAAGCGGCGCGCUGGACCACAACUGACGCUGAGGAACGAAAGCUAGGGGAGCAAACAGGAUUAGAUACCCUGGUAGUCCUAGCCCUAAACGAUCAGGACUUGGGGUGGCACCCGUUUGGGUGUCGUCCCGUAGCUAACGCGUUAAGUCCUGCACCUGGGGAGUACGGUCGCAAGACUGAAACUCAAAGGAAUUGACG
rnacentral:rRNA from 1 species